UCACUCCGGUUCCCCUUCAAUACGAAAAAAUCUUUCGCCUUUUACUAAAGAUUUCCGUGGAGGGGAGCAUGCAAAGGAGUCUAGAACUCUAAUUUUUGACAAUGGCCUGAUUCCGAUCGGGCCG